rnacentral:rRNA from 1 species
UACGUAGGUGGCAAGCGUUGUCCGGAUUUACUGGGCGUAAAGAGCGCGCAGGCGGUCGGAUCAGUCGAAUGUGAAAGCCCCCGGCUCAACUGGGGAGGGUCAUUCGAUACUGUCCGACUCGAAGGCAGGAGAGGGAAGCGGAAUUCCCGGUGUAGUGGUGAAAUGCGUAGAUAUCGGGAGGAACACCAGUGGCGAAGGCGACUUCCUGGCCUGUUCUUGACGCUGAGGCGCGAAAGCUAGGGUAGCAAACGGGG